rnacentral:rRNA from 1 species
CAAUAGCGUAUAUUAAAGUUGUUGCGGUUAAAAAGCUCGUAGUUGGAGUUCUGCCAGGUGCCGCCUGUCCGCCCCAGUGGUGAGUACGUGGCGCGCAUUUGGCCCUUUCAAGGGGAGCGUAUCUGCACUUUAUUGUGUGGUGCGGGAUCCUUGACUUUUACUUUGAGGAAAUAGGAGUGUUCCAAGCAGGCUCUCGUCGUGCACAGCCCAGCAUGGAAUAAUAGCAUUGGACCUCGAUUCUAAGCUGUUGGUUGCCAGAAGCGAGGUAAUGAUGAAGAGGGAUAGUUGGGGGCAUUCGUAUUUAACUGUCGGAGGUGAAAUUCUUGGAUUUGUUAAAGACGGACUACUGCGAAAGCAUCUGCCAUGGAUGUUUUCAUUGA